GACGAACGCUGGCGGCGUGCUUAACACAUGCAAGUCGAACGGAAAGGCCCUGCUUUUGUGGGGUGCUCGAGUGGCGAACGGGUGAGUAACACGUGAGUAACCUGCCCUUGACUUUGGGAUAACUUCAGGAAACUGGGGCUAAUACCGGAUAGGAGCUCCUGCUGCAUGGUGGGGGUUGGAAAGUUUCGGCGGUUGGGGAUGGACUCGCGGCUUAUCAGCUUGUUGGUGGGGUAGUGGCUUACCAAGGCUUUGACGGGUAGCCGGCCUGAGAGGGUUACCGGCCACAUUGGGACUGAGAGACGGACAAGACUCCUACGGGAGGCAGCAGUGGGGAAUAUUGCACAAUGGGCGGAAGCCUGAUGCAGCAACGCCGCGUGCGGGAUGACGGCCUUCGGGUUGUAAACCGCUUUCGCCUGUGACGAAGCGUGAGUGACGGAAAUGGGUAAAGAAGCACCGGCUAACUACGUG
rnacentral:rRNA from 1 species